rnacentral:rRNA from 1 species
UGGUAUCCUGUCUGAAUAUGGGGGGACCAUCCUCCAAGGCUAAAUACUCCUGACUGACCGAUAGUGAACCAGUACCGUGAGGGAAAGGCGAAAAGAACCCCGGCGAGGGGAGUGAAAAAGAACCUGAAACCGUGUACGUACAAGCAGUGGGAGCACGCUUAGGCGUGUGACUGCGUACCUUUUGUAUAAUGGGUCAGCGACUUAUAUUCUGUAGCAAGGUUAACCGAAUAGGGGAGCCGAAGGGAAACCGAGUCUUAACUGGGCGUUAAGUUGCAGGGUAUAGACCCGAAACCCGGUGAUCUAGCCAUGGGCAGGUUGAAGGUUGGGUAACACUAACUGGAGGACCGAACCGACUAAUGUUGAAAAAUUAGCGGAUGACUUGUGGCUGGGGGUGAAAGGCCAAUCAAACCGGGAGAUAGCUGGUUCUCCCCGAAAGCUAUUUAGGUAGCGCCUCGUGAAUUCAUCUCCGGGGGUAGAGCACUGUUUCGGCAAGGGGGUCAUCCCGACUUACCAACCCGAUGCAAACUGCGAAUACCGGAGAAUGUUAUCACGGGAGACACACGGCGGGUGCUAACGUCCGUCGUGAAGAGGGAAACAACCCAGACCGCCAGCUAAGGUCCCAAAGUCAUGGUUAAGUGGGAAACGAUGUGGGAAGGCCCAGACAGCCAGGAUGUUGGCUUAGAAGCAGCCAUCAUUUAAAGAAAGCGUAAUAGCUCACUGGUCGAGUCGGCCUGCGCGGAAGAUGUAACGGGGCUAAACCAUGCACCGAAGCUGCGGCAGCGACACUAUGUGUUGUUGGGUAGGGGAGCGUUCUGUAAGCCUGUGAAGGUGUACUGUGAGGUAUGCUGGAGGUAUCAGAAGUGCGAAUGCUGACAUAAGUAACGAUAAAGCGGGUGAAAAGCCCGCUCGCCGGAAGACCAAGGGUUCCUGUCCAACGUUAAUCGGGGCAGGGUGAGUCGACCCCUAAGGCGAGGCCGAAAGGCGUAGUCGAUGGGAAACAGGUUAAUAUUCCUGUACUUGGUGUUACUGCGAAGGGGGGACGGAGAAGGCUAUGUUGGCCGGGCGACGGUUGUCCCGGUUUAAGCGUGUAGGCUGGUUUUCCAGGCAAAUCCGGAAAACUAAGGCUGAGGCGUGAUGACGAGGCACUACGGUGCUGAAGCAACAAAUGCCCUGCUUCCAGGAAAAGCCUCUAAGCAUCAGGUAACAUCAAAUCGUACCCCAAACCGACACAGGUGGUCAGGUAGAGAAUACCAAGGCGCUUGAGAGAACUCGGGUGAAGGAACUAGGCAAAAUGGUGCCGUAACUUCGGGAGAAGGCACGCUGAUAUGUAGGUGAAGUCCCUCGCGGAUGGAGCUGAAAUCAGUCGAAGAUACCAGCUGGCUGCAACUGUUUAUUAAAAACACAGCACUGUGCAAACACGAAAGUGGACGUAUACGGUGUGACGCCUGCCCGGUGCCGGAAGGUUAAUUGAUGGGGUCAGCGCAAGCGAAGCUCUUGAUCGAAGCCCCGGUAAACGGCGGCCGUAACUAUAACGGUCCUAAGGUAGCGAAAUUCCUUGUCGGGUAAGUUCCGACCUGCACGAAUGGCGUAAUGAUGGCCAGGCUGUCUCCACCCGAGACUCAGUGAAAUUGAACUCGCUGUGAAGAUGCAGUGUACCCGCGGCAAGACGGAAAGACCCCGUGAACCUUUACUAUAGCUUGACACUGAACAUUGAGCCUUGAUGUGUAGGAUAGGUGGGAGGCUUUGAAGUGUGGACGCCAGUCUGCAUGGAGCCGACCUUGAAAUACCACCCUUUAAUGUUUGAUGUUCUAACGUUGACCCGUAAUCCGGGUUGCGGACAGUGUCUGGUGGGUAGUUUGACUGGGGCGGUCUCCUCCUAAAGAGUAACGGAGGAGCACGAAGGUUGGCUAAUCCUGGUCGGACAUCAGGAGGUUAGUGCAAUGGCAUAAGCCAGCUUGACUGCGAGCGUGACGGCGCGAGCAGGUGCGAAAGCAGGUCAUAGUGAUCCGGUGGUUCUGAAUGGAAGGGCCAUCGCUCAACGGAUAAAAGGUACUCCGGGGAUAACAGGCUGAUACCGCCCAAGAGUUCAUAUCGACGGCGGUGUUUGGCACCUCGAUGUCGGCUCAUCACAUCCUGGGGCUGAAGUAGGUCCCAAGGGUAUGGCUGUUCGCCAUUUAAAGUGGUACGCGAGCUGGGUUUAGAACGUCGUGAGACAGUUCGGUCCCUAUCUGCCGUGGGCGCUGGAGAACUGAGGGGGGCUGCUCCUAGUACGAGAGGACCGGAGUGGACGCAUCACUGGUGUUCGGGUUGUCAUGCCAAUGGCACUGCCCGGUAGCUAAAUGCGGAAGAGAUAAGUGCUGAAAGCAUCUAAGCACGAAACUUGCCCCGAGAUGAGUUCUCCCUGACUCCUUGAGAGUCCUGAAGGAACGUUGAAG